rnacentral:rRNA from 1 species
GGGUGAGUAAUGCAUCGGAAUGUACCGUGUAGUGGGGGAUAGCUCGGCGAAAGCCGGAUUAAUACCGCAUACGCCCUGAGGGGGAAAGUGGGGGACCGUAAGGCCUCACGUUAUACGAGCAGCCGAUGUCUGAUUAGCUAGUUGGUGGGGUAAAGGCUCACCAAGGCGACGAUCAGUAGCGGGUCUGAGAGGAUGAUCCGCCACACUGGGACUGAGACACGGCCCAGACUCCUACGGGAGGCAGCAGUGGGGAAUUUUGGACAAUGGGCGCAAGCCUGAUCCAGCCAUGCCGCGUGUCUGAAGAAGGCCUUCGGGUUGUAAAGGACUUUUGUCCGGGAGCAAAUCCCAGUGGUUAAUACCUACUGGGGCUGAGAGUACCGGAAGAAUAAGCACCGGCUAACUACGUGCCAGCAGCCGCGGUAAUACGUAGGGUGCAAGCGUUAAUCGGAAUUACUGGGCGUAAAGCGUGCGCAGGCGGUUGUGCAAGUCUGAUGUGAAAGCCCCGGGCUUAACCUGGGAACGGCAUUGGAGACUGCACGACUAGAGUGCGUCAGAGGGGGGUAGAAUUCCGCGUGUAGCAGUGAAAUGCGUAGAGAUGCGGAGGAAUACCGAUGGCGAA